rnacentral:rRNA from 1 species
CAGUGAUGGCCGUGUAGUGGACUGCCAUGGCGUUGACGGGAGCGGGGGAUUAGGGUUCGAUUCCGGAGAGGGAGCCUGAGAAAUAGCUACCACUUCUACGGAGGGCAGCAGGCGCGCAAAUUGCCCAAUGUCAAAAAAAAACGAUGAGGCAGCGAAAAGAAAUAGAGCCGACGGUGCCUAGUGCAUUGUCGUAUUCAAUGGGGGAUAUUUAAACCCAUCCAAAAUCGAUUAACAAUUGGAGGACAAGUCUGGUGCCAGCACCCGCGGUAAUUCCAGCUCCAAAAGCGUAUAUUAAUGCUGU